GACGAACCGUGCGAACGUUGUUCGGAAUCACUGGGCUUAAAGGGCGCGUAGGCGGGCCGGACGGUCCGGGGUGAAAUCCCCCCGCUCAACGGGGGAACGGCCCCGGACACCGCCGGCCUCGAGGAAGGUAGGGGCGAGCGGAACGCUGGGUGGAGCGGUGAAAUGCGUUGAUAUCCAGCGGAACUCCGGUGGCGAAGGCGGCUCGCUGGACCUUUUCUGACGCUGAGGCGCGAAAGCCAGGGGAGCGAACGGG
rnacentral:rRNA from 1 species